rnacentral:rRNA from 1 species
GGGACGAACGCUGGCGGCUGCUUAACACAUGCAAGUCGAACGAGAAUCUGUGGAUUGAGGAUUCGUCCAAAUGAAGCAGAGGACAGUGGCGGACGGGUGAGUAACGCGUGAGGAACCUGCCUUUCAGAGGGGGACAACAGUUGGAAACGACUGCUAAUACCGCAUAACGCGUAGAGGUCGCAUGGCCUUUACGCCAAAGAUUUAUUGCUGAAAGAUGGCCUCGCGUCUGAUUAGCUAGUUGGUGAGGUAACGGCUCACCAAGGCGACGAUCAGUAGCCGGUCUGAGAGGAUGAACGGCCACAUUGGGACUGAGAUACGGCCCAGACUCCUACGGGAGGCAGCAGUGGGGAAUAUUGGGCAAUGGGGGAAACCCUGACCCAGCAACGCCGCGUGAAGGAAGAAGGCCUUCGGGUUGUAAACUUCUUUUAGUAGGGACGAAGAACGUGACGGUACCUACAGAAAAAGCAACGGCUAACUACGUG